GAUGAACGCUGGCGGCGUGCCUAACACAUGCAAGUCGAGCGAACGGACGAGAAGCUUGCUUCUCUGAUGUUAGCGGCGGACGGGUGAGUAACACGUGGAUAACCUACCUAUAAGACUGGGAUAACUUCGGGAAACCGGAGCUAAUACCGGAUAAUAUUUUGAACCGCAUGGUUCAAAAGUGAAAGACGGUCUUGCUGUCACUUAUAGAUGGAUCCGCGCUGCAUUAGCUAGUUGGUAAGGUAACGGCUUACCAAGGCGACGAUGCAUAGCCGACCUGAGAGGGUGAUCGGCCACACUGGAACUGAGACACGGUCCAGACUCCUACGGGAGGCAGCAGUAGGGAAUCUUCCGCAAUGGGCGAAAGCCUGACGGAGCAACGCCGCGUGAGUGAUGAAGGCCUUCGGAUCGUAAAGCUCUGUUGUUAGGGAAGAACAUAUGUGUAAGUAACUGUGCACAUCUUGACGGUACCUAAUCAGAAAGCCACGGCUAACUACGUG
rnacentral:rRNA from 1 species